UACAGAGGGGGCAAGCGUUGUUCGGAAUUACUGGGCGUAAAGGGCGCGUAGGCGGCCGCCUAAGUCAGACGUGAAAUCCCUCGGCUCAACCGGGGAACUGCGUCUGAUACUGGGUGGCUUGAAUCCGGGAGAGGGAUGCGGAAUUCCAGGUGUAGCGGUGAAAUGCGUAGAUAUCUGGAGGAACACCGGUGGCGAAGGCGGCAUCCUGGACCGGCAUUGACGCUGAGGCGCGAAAGCGUGGGGAGCAAACAGG
rnacentral:rRNA from 1 species